AGAUUGUGAAACCAGAACAGAUGAUUGUUGUUGUAACACUGUCCCAUUUCAUGCUUGCAGUUACUGUAAAGAAAACAACCUGUAACAUGAGUCUGUGUGAAACAUUCUGAAGAGAGAUUGUGAAACCAGAACAGAUGAUUGUUGUUGUAACACUGUCCCAUUUCAUGCUUGCAGUAAACACCCAAGAAAAGGCAUUACUGGUGUUUGUCCUUAUUCGAGGUUGAUCCUUUGGUGCAUCCAGUGUUCCGCUACAUCAUGCGUUCAUGACCUCAAGGUUAGAUUAUUGUUAGGGAUGCACCGAUACCACUUUUUCCAGUAGUCGCCCGAUACCGAUAGUUUUAUUUCUGGU